UGCCAGCAGCCGCGGUAAUACAGAGGGUGCGAGCGUUAAUCGGAAUUACUGGGCGUAAAGAGCACGUAGGUGGUUACGUAAGUUAGAUGUGAAACUCCUGGGCUUAACCUAGGACCUGCAUUUAAGACUGCGUAGCUAGAGUAUGGUAGAGGAAAGUGGAAUUUCCGGUGUAGCGGUGAAAUGCGUAGAUAUCGGAAGGAACAUCAGUGGCGAAGGCGGCUUUCUGGACUAAUACUGACACUGAGGCGCGAAAGCGUGGGGAGCAAACAGGAUUAGAUA
rnacentral:rRNA from 1 species